rnacentral:misc_RNA from 1 species
AAAAAGAAUAGUGUUACAAUGAAAAACGAAAAGCUCGGUUUCGACUACGGUACCUCUUCUCUUCAUACUGUUGGUUCUGUUUCUUUUGGCCUUCUCUGUUUUCAGCAGGUCCAAGAUGAUGAUCUCUUGAUUAGUGGCUUCAUUUGCUUGUCCUCUUCAAGUGAAAUCAUCCCCAAGUGUGAUGGAUCUUCCAACAUCAUCUUUGCAACCAAG